ensembl:lncRNA
AACUUGUGCUCUGCAGGGAGACCUCACUGCGGCCUUCCAUCUUCCAGCCUACCCUCCCAGGAUAUCAGAAGAGGAGAAGCACGUGGAAUCAGUGAGCCUGGGGCAUACGGUAUCAUGCUCAGUGUAGCAGAUGGGCCAAACCUGCACCUUCAGUUGUCUUCCUAGUUCUAAGUGACCCACCUCAGAGAAAUAUGAAAUACUACAUACUUAUGGAGAGCAGCAUAUUAGUUGGCAUUGUGAUCUGGAAGCCAGCUUCAAAGGCUAGUGAAGAGUAAAGUCUAGAGAAUUAUCAAAUAUGUAACAAUAAUAAUAGGAAGCCAUCCCAUUUGUAUAGUCACUUGUUGCUUUUCUUUUGCUAUGAACCCUGUUUGUAACUUUAACUCUUUUGAAGCAUCCUCCUGCUGGCUGGGUGCAACACCAUGGCUUCUGAAUUCCAAUUUUCAGUUACUGGAUUUGACACUUUGAAGCACAGCAGUGUCCUGACAUUGAAGAAUAAUCAUUGUGUCAGUCUUCAAAGUGCUUUAUAGUGAAGCAAACACUAAAUUCUAAUGCAAGAUAAAGCCUAAGCACUGUAGGAUCAACAUGAGGAAUCAGCAGUUCCCAUAUAUGUACUCUUUGUGUGAACAAUCAAAUACAAAUACCUACAUAACUUUCCUGCCUUUAAGACUGCCACCUCUGUUAGAGCUAAACAGCUAAGAGCUGUCUAGAGAGCAAGUUUAUAUUCUGCAGAGGUCUGCUUUGAUUCUUAUCUGCUUCUGUAUCACAACUAAAUUAUUAACCUCUUGCAUUAUCUAUGCAAUUUUCAGUCUCUGAUGAUAUUCUUAUUUUGCUUUUGGCAAUAUUUGACUUAUUAGGAAUUGUCAUUUCGUUAUUGGUAUCUUUUUCAGUAAAGCACAUUAAGAAUGGUCUUCAGGGCAAGAAGAGAGAGUGCCAUGAGUACAUAAGAGCUUAACAGUCUCUGAACAAAAAGGAACGGUAUGAAAGCCACUUUACAAAGGGAUUAUGUGCAAGUUACCAAAAGCAAGAUCAUGUCACUCUGAUUAUCUUAAUACUUUUUCUUUUAACUGAAUAUAGCAUUCUAAUAUUCCUGGACUGCCUUGAAGCCAUCGAUAUAGGGCUCCAAAAAGCAAAACUGAAAAGGCUAUGAAUUGACACCAGAGUACAGGCGAGGGGAGUGCUGCAUGAAAAAGAGCUGUGGGAGGAAGGAGGAAUGUUGAAGUCCUGAGACUUUUAAAUUAUUAUUAGUAGUAAUUACUAUUAUUAUUUCAUUUUUUAUUACUUAGGAGGGACAAAAGUAACAUUCUGGAUCUGUGCCCAAAAGUGGCUCUGUUCUGCAGUCAGUGGAUCACUUCCCAACAUUGCACUGGGGAGUAAGCGAAAUAAUUUUUAAUUUGGAAGUAUAAAAAUGUGGAUUUUAGUAAUUAAAAAUGAGUGUCUGGGUUGCGUGAAAGAGUGAAAUCAGCUGACUGCUGGUGACGGUCUUGAACCAUGACACUGUAAAUGCAGUUCUGUGACACGUCACCAGAGGGAUUCCUAAUAAAAAGGGAGAAGCAUGAACAGCAUUGCUCAGGCACCAGCACUCUUAAAACCAAACCAACCAAAAAUGGACAAUAAGCAGCAUUGAAUAAUCUUAAAAAUAAAGCCUAGCUUAGUUAAGGAACAACUAAAAUAUGGCACCCACAUGUAAGUAUGCUACACAGUUGAGCUGGGCAAAAGUAUUGUGGUUCUGGUAUUCUGUCAUUGAAAAGUAUACAGAGUGAACACUUAUUCUAUUGUUGUGUCUGUAGAAAUGGCUGAAGAACUUACGAAAGCAUUUAAUAAAAUAAAAAUCCAAUUGAA